CAGUCGCCACGGGAAUACGGAGGAUCCGAGCGUUAUCCGGAAUUAUUGGGUUUAAAGGGUGCGUAGGCGGACAGAUAAGUCAGUGGUGAAAGACGGUGGCUCAACCAUCGCAGUGCCGUUGAUACUGUUUGUCUUGAAUAUGGAUGAGGUAGGCGGAAUGUGGCAAGUAGCGGUGAAAUGCAUAGAUAUGCCACAGAACACCGAUUGCGAAGGCAGCUUACCAAGGCAAUAUUGACGCUGAGGCACGAAAGCGUGGGGAUCGAACAGGAUUAGAUACCCCCGUAGUCCCUGUCUCUUAUAC
rnacentral:rRNA from 1 species